rnacentral:rRNA from 1 species
CCUCGGGAGGCAGCAGUGAGGAAUAUUGGUCAAUGGACGAGAGUCUGAACCAGCCAAGUAGCGUGAAGGAUGACUGCCCUAUGGGUUGUAAACUUCUUUUAUAUGAGAAUAAACUGUUCCACGUGUGGGAUUUUGUAUGUACCAUAUGAAUAAGGAUCGGCUAACUCAGUGCCAGCAGCCGCGGUAAUACGGAGGAUCCGAGCGUUAUCCGGAGUGAUUGGGGUUAAAGGGAGCGUACGUGGAUUGUUAAGUCAGUUGGGAAAGUUUGCGGCUCAACAGUCAAAUUGAAGUUGAAACUGGCAGUCUUGAGUACAGUAGAGGUGGGCGGAAUUCGUGGUGUAGCGGUGAAAUGCUUAGAUAUCACGAAGAACUCCGAUUGCGAAGGCAGUUCACUGGACUGCAACUGACACUGAGGCUCGAAAGUGUGGGUAUCAAACAGGAUUAGAUACCCGAGUAGUC